ensembl:lncRNA
GACAAUCCAAUCGUUGAUGUCUUUGUUUUGCACAAAGACAUUGUCCAGGGGGGAAAGUAGAUGUAAUUUCGUACUGGAACUGAACACCCAAGUGCGCGCGCACACUUUUUUUUAUACUACAAAAAUGACAGGGUAGCCAACUCUGCUGACACUGACGACAGAUCAAUAAAAACUAUGCUGUCUGAUCCAUAUAAUCAGCCUGCGAAAAGAGGAAACACAAAUACAAUAUGACUACCAUCUAACCUGGAGGAGAAACGAUUGUCCAAAAACACAGAAAAGGGGCACUGACCCAGUGAAUAUGCACCGGGGAUAUGGCUGAUGUUCUCCCGCUGGUGCUAAUAAGAUAUGCCACUGUUCCCUCAAGACUAUUCAAGCGAUCGACUCACUGAUGCAUGAAGAUGAUGAGCUAUCAGCAAAGGCCAUCUGGAGUCCCAAGCAUCCCCUCAAACGUCAUGCGGGGGUGCCAACUUCUUGCCAGGGACCAGGCACAUAUUUGAGUUUUGAUGCUCCUCUCCAGCCUGCAACAGGCUUCUGUUGAGACCUCACCUUUCUCCAGGACCCCCUCUGCUACAGCCUCUGUGAAGACCACCACUGCCUCUGUUGUCUCUCAAGACACCGCCAGCUCUUCUACAGACUCUGAGACCUGAUUGGUGUUGACUGGCUGCUCAGGUAGACUGGGAAGGCCAUACAGGACAAUGACUGACUCGGAGGAGACUGAUUUUGAAGGCUAUGCAUUAUAACCCACAGUUGGUAGUCCUCUGGAUGACUUCAUCACCACCACAGCUGACUUCUCUGAUGCCAUAUUGAGGACAUCUGAAAAUAAAUGUGGUCCUGCUUUGUGACAUUUCAGGAAGGCUCCAUGUUAUACCGAUCGCACUACAUGUUUUUUUUGUGUGUAGAUAUGGUUAUCCUUGUUUGAUAGAGCCAUUGGAGGUCUUUCAGCGAUUUUCGUUAAUUGCUAAAAGUCUCUGAAACUCGAG